rnacentral:rRNA from 1 species
AUUGAACGCUGGCGGCAUGCUUUACACAUGCAAGUCGAACGGCAGCGCGGGCUUCGGCCUGGCGGCGAGUGGCGAACGGGUGAGUAAUGCAUCGGAACGUGCCCAGUAGUGGGGGAUAGCCCGGCGAAAGCCGGAUUAAUACCGCAUACGACCUGAGGGUGAAAGCGGGGGACCGAAAGGCCUCGCGCUAUUGGAGCGGCCGAUGUCGGAUUAGCUAGUUGGUGGGGUAAAGGCUUACCAAGGCGACGAUCCGUAGCUGGUCUGAGAGGACGACCAGCCACACUGGGACUGAGACACGGCCCAGACUCCUACGGGAGGCAGCAGUGGGGAAUUUUGGACAAUGGGGGCAACCCUGAUCCAGCCAUGCCGCGUGCGGGAAGAAGGCCUUCGGGUUGUAAACCGCUUUUGUUCGGGAAGAAAUCCUCUGGGCUAAUACCCAGGGGGGAUGACGGUACCGGAAGAAUAAGCACCGGCUAACUACGUG